GACGGAAUGAAGGGUAGCUUUGGAAAGACACGUCAGCCAAUCGGUUUGCGGCCCUGCCCCCCAGACCUCAGAAUGAGACUGUGUUUGGAGAUGGAGCCAUGGAAGAGGAAAUUAAGGUAAACGAGUUCGGUGGUGUGGACCCUGAUCCCACAGGACUGGUGUCGCAAUAAGAGGAGGAGAUUACGACGCAGACACAUACGGAGGAACGACCCUGCUAGGACACUGGGAGAAGACCAACCCUGUGACACCUUGAUUUUGGAUUUAUAGCCUCGAGGACUGUGAGAAAAUAAAUUUCUAUCAUUUGA